rnacentral:rRNA from 1 species
AGACUCCUACGGGAGGCAGCAGUGGGGAAUAUUGGACAAUGGGGGGAACCCUGAUCCAGCCAUGCCGCGUGUGUGAAGAAGGCCUUAUGGUUGUAAAGCACUUUAAGCGAGGAGGAGGCUCUCUUGGUUAAUACCCAAGAAGAGUGGACGUUACUCGCAGAAUAAGCACCGGCUAACUCUGUGCCAGCAGCCGCGGUAAUACAGAGGGUGCGAGCGUUAAUCGGAUUUACUGGGCGUAAAGCGUGCGUAGGCGGCUUUUUAAGUCGGAUGUGAAAUCCCCGAGCUUAACUUGGGAAUUGCAUUCGAUACUGGGAAGCUAGAGUAUGGGAGAGGAUGGUAGAAUUCCAGGUGUAGCGGUGAAAUGCGUAGAGAUCUGGAGGAAUACCGAUGGCGAAGGCAGCCAUCUGGCCUAAUACUGACGCUGAGGUACGAAAGCAUGGGGAGCAAACAGGAUUAGAUACCCUGGUAGUCCAUGCCGUAAACGAUGUCUACUAGCCGUUGGGGCCUUUGAGGCUUUAGUGGCGCAGCUAACGCGAUAAGUAGACCGCCUGGGGAGUACGGUCGCAAGACUAAAACUCAAAUGAAUUGACGGGGGCCCGCACAAGCGGUGGAGCAUGUGGUUUAAUUCGAUGCAACGCGAAGAACCUUACCUGGUCUUGACAUAGUAAGACUUUCCAGAGAUGGAUUGGUGCCUUCGGGAACUUACAUACAGGUGCUGCAUGGCUGUCGUCAGCUCG